GCCUCCGUAGUUUAAUGGCAGAACUAUGCUUUCGUAAAGCAUCGGUGUCGGCUCGAUUCCGACCGGAGGCUCCC
rnacentral:tRNA from 1 species